rnacentral:ncRNA from 2 species
AGCCGUUUCAGUGGUGAUUUGGCCGGUCUGAUUGCAGCCACUUAAAACAAUUUGCUAAAGCGACCAGUGCUCGACCGGC